CCUACGGGAGGCAGCAGUGGGGAAUCUUGCGCAAUGGGCGAAAGCCUGACGCAGCAACGCCGCGUGCGGGAAGAAGGCUUUCGGGCUGUAAACCGCUUUCAGCAGGAACGAAAAUGACGGUACCUGCAGAAGAAGGAGCGGCCAACUAUGUGCCAGCAGCCGCGGUGAUACAUAGGCUUCAAGCGUUGUCCGGAUUUAUUGGGCGUAAAGAGUUCGUAGGCGGUCGAGUAAGUCGGGUGUGAAAAUUCUGGGCUCAACCCAGAGACGCCACCCGAUACUGCUUGACUUGAGUUCGAUAGGGGAGUGGGGAAUUCCUAGUGUAGCGGUGAAAUGCGCAGAUAUUAGGAGGAACACCGGUGGCGAAGGCGCCACUCUGGAUCGAUACUGACGCUGAGGAACGAAAGCAUGGGUAGCAAACAGGAUUAGAUACCCUGGUAGUCCAUGCCGUAAACGGUGGGCACUAGGUGUGGGUUUCUAUUAACGAAAUCCGCGCCGUCGCUAACGCAUUAAGUGCCCCGCCUGGGGGAGGUACGGUCGCAGACUAAACUACAAAGAAGUAGACGGCGNGAGACGNGCCGAACGGACGACGACGAGGGAGUAGG
rnacentral:rRNA from 1 species